GAUGAACGCUGGCGGCGUGCCUAAUACAUGCAAGUCGAGCGAACAGACGAGGAGCUUGCUCCUCUGACGUUAGCGGCGGACGGGUGAGUAACACGUGGAUAACCUACCUAUAAGACUGGGAUAACUUCGGGAAACCGGAGCUAAUACCGGAUAAUAUAUUGAACCGCAUGGUUCAAUAGUGAAAGACGGUUUUGCUGUCACUUAUAGAUGGAUCCGCGCCGCAUUAGCUAGUUGGUAAGGUAACGGCUUACCAAGGCAACGAUGCGUAGCCGACCUGAGAGGGUGAUCGGCCACACUGGAACUGAGACACGGUCCAGACUCCUACGGGAGGCAGCAGUGGGGAAUCUUCCGCAAUGGGCGAAAGCUUGACGGAGCAACGCCGCGUGAGUGAUGAAGGUCUUCGGAUCGUAAACCUCUGUUAUUAGGGAAGAACAAAUGUGUAAGUAACUAUGCACGUCUUGACGGUACCUAAUCAGAAAGCCACGGCUAACUACGUG
rnacentral:rRNA from 1 species